rnacentral:rRNA from 1 species
AUCUACAAUCAUACCACCCUGAACGCGCCCGAUCUCGUCUGAUCUUGGAAGCUAAGCAAGGUCAGGCCUGGACAGUACUUGGAUGGGAGAAAGCGAGAAAUCACCCCCCGGGGGGAUGGCCA